AACUUUUAACAACGGAUCUCUUGGUUCUAGCAUCGAUGAAGAACGCAGCGAAAUGCGAUAAGUAGUGUGAAUUGCAGAAUUCAGUGAAUCAUCGAAUUUUUGAACGCACAUUGCGCCCCUCGGUAUCCCGGGGGGCAUGCCUAUUCGAGCGUCAUUUCUACUAUUCAAGUUUUCUUUUUAACUUGGUUUUAGGUAUUAUAUUAUUUAUAUACCUUAAAUUUAGGCGGCAAUAUAAUCUAGCUUAAGCAUAGCAGUAAAACAUUUGCGAAAAGGUAGUAUUAUAUUUCCCGGAUAGCAUAAUAUUAAAGUUUGACCUCGGAUUAGGUAGGGAUACCCGCUGAACUUAAGCAUAUCAAUAAGCGGAGGCU
rnacentral:misc_RNA from 1 species